CUCCUUGUAUGAAAAAUCGUUAAAACUUCGUGUUUUAAUAACUCGUAUACAUAGAUUUCAACCUUGUUUGCCAAAACUUUACUGGCAAUAGGCAUGUUUCACAUGGCGGUAACCAAAAUUCUGUUGUUUGCCUCUACUAUUCUUCUUCAUGUUGACUGUUUUGUAAGGGUGGAUAACUAUCAGAAUUCCGUAUACAUACAAAAGAGAUCGUAUGAUCCCUUUACACCAGCAUCAAGUAUUUAUAAACCUUCCUGGAACCAGUGAUCUACGAUUAUAUGUCUGUCGAUACUGAAACUGCGGUAGAUGGUGUCGGGCAGAGAGGACAUUUAGUACAAUUCUACAAGUACAUGUAUCGGAAAGACUAUGUACCACUGUUCCCAAUACCAAGUCUUAGAUACUACUUCACAAACGAACAGUACUACCAGAAUGUAUCGAAAAUCUUAAUGGAACAGAUGACAAACAACCCUGUCAUUCGUGUGAGGACGUAAACCAUUGGACAAUCACAUAUUCUUUAAGUUCAAGUCAAAUAUGACAUUUAAUUAUUUUUUUCUCUUACAUCAUCUGUCAUGUAUUUAUACUGUAAUCGAAUACUUGAUGCUUCCAAUAAAGGUUACUUAUUAAUUAAUAAA